AUCUGGUUGAUCCUGCCAGAGGCUACCGCUAUUGGAGUUCGAUUAAGCCGUGCGAGUCGUGAGUCCUAGGGACUCGGCGUACCGCUCAGUAACACGUGGGUAACCUGCCCUAUGCUGGGGGAUAACCUCGGGAAACUGAGAAUAAUACCCCAUAGUUCACCACGCCUGGAACGGUGGGUGGAUGAAAGCCCCGGCGGCAUAGGAUGGGCCUGCGGCGUAUCAGGUUGUAGGGGGUGUAAUGUACCCUCUAGCCAUCUACGCGUACGGGUGUUGGGAGACAUCGCCCGGAGAUGGAUUCUGAGACACGAAUCCAGACCCUACGGGGUGCAGCAGGCGCGAAAACUUGGCAAUGCGAGCAAUCGUGACCAGGGAACUCCAAGUGCAUCGGGUAAGACCGAUGCUUUUCUUGACUCUUCAAAGGUCUUGGAAUAAGGGGUGGGUAAGGACGGUGCCAGCCGCCGCGGUAAUACCGGCGCCUCAAGUGGUAGUCGCUUUUAUUGGGCCUAAAACGUCCGUAGCCGGUUUGGUACAUUCGUGGGUAAAUCAAGGCGCUCAACGUCUUGAAUUCUGCGAGCACGGCCAGACUUGGGACCGGGUGAGGUGUGGGGU
rnacentral:rRNA from 1 species